rnacentral:rRNA from 1 species
GAGUUUGAUCAUGGCUCAGGAUGAACGCUGGCGGCGUGCCUAAUACAUGCAAGUCGAACGAGGUGCUUUUGUAGCAAUACGAGAGUAUCCUAGUGGCGAACGGGUGAGUAACGCGUUGGUGACCUACCCCAAAGUGUGGGAUAACAGUCCGAAAGGAUUGCUAAUACCGCAUGUGGUCAUUGGAUUUAGAAACUGAUGACCAAAGGAGCAAUUCGCUUUGGGAGGGACCUGCGUCCCAUCAGCUAGUUGGUGAGGUAAUGGCUCACCAAGGCGACGACGGGUAGGGGACCUGAGAGGGUGGCCCCCCACAAUGGAACUGAAACACGGUCCAUACACCUACGGGUGGCAGCAGUAGGGAUACUGCUCGAUGGGCGAAAGCCUGAAGCAGCAACGCCGCGUGCGUGAUGAAGUCUUCGGAUCGUAAGCGCUUUUCUGGGAGAUGAGAAAGACAGUAUCCCAGGAUAAGUCUCGGCUAACUACGUGCCAGCAGCCGCGGUAAACGUAGAGCAAGCGUUAUCCGGAUUCACUGGGCGUAAAGCGCGUGCAGUGGCGCGGUAAGUUGGAUGUGAAAUCUCCC